ensembl:lncRNA
CUGUGCUUUUGUUCUCUUCCGUGUUUCUAACACAGAGGCUGCCAGAGUAGCCCAGGCUUAAUCAAAGGGUAGGCACAGAUUAUGAGGGCGUUCUUUCCCCCAGACCAUCCACCACACAUUCAUUUCAUUCAUGAAUUCAUUUUUCUGUUCAGCCAAAAUUUAAUGUCAUCAUCUACAUGCUGGGGACACAACAGUGAGGGAAACGGACUGGGAGCUUACAGUUGACCGAUGGGACCCAACAGGUGGUCACUGCACACUGGAAUGUGGGACAUAUAGGACGCCUCCUGAACACGAAGAAGGAGACCUACCUCAGUUCUGCAGAGUCCGAGAAGACUUUCCCGAGAAGCUGACAACUCAGCUAAGACCUCAAAGAUAAGAUGGUUUAAUGUAAGCCAGAAAAGCAGGUUUAGAGUUCCAGGAAGUGGAGAAGUAAAAGUAUGACAUGGAAAGGGAGGGGGAAGGAGAGGAGCCUCUGGGACCACACAAUCCCCACUUCCCCCGCCAGCUACUUCCCAAAGAAACCAUCUCCCUCACCCUGAACAGGGACUAGUGGGGUUCAGGACCAUGGAGAGCACCACAGUGCUCUUCCAGGCACCAUUUUGGUCUUGCUAAUCCUGAAGGGCCCCGCUCAGGUUAAAGCCUGAGGAGAUGAAGGACAGGGUCUGGGGGUGCGGAAACCACCGGGCUGGGGACCAAGGAGGGAGAGUCCGGGGGCCAGCUGAGUCUGGGGAAUCAACUGUCAGCUCUCCAACUAGAUGAAGGCUGUAGUCACAGACCCAAGGGGAGCCUGGUGAGUUACACUUAGGCCUGGGAGCCCAGGAUCCCUGCUGGGCACAAGGAGAACAGCGGGAUGAUGGAGACAAGUGGUUCUCUACGGUCCCUGUUACCCAGGCUGGAGUGCAGUGGUAUGCAGUUUCGACCUCCUGGGCUGCAGUGAUCCUCCUGCCUCAACUUCCCAAGUAUCUGGGACUACAGGCAUGCACCACCACGCCUGGCUAGUUUUUGUAUUUUUUGUAGAGACGGAGUUUUGCCAUGUUGGUCAGACUGGUCUGGAACUCCUGGACUCAAGCGAUCCACCCACCUCAGCCUCCCAAAGUGCUGGGAUUCAGCAGCCCAGGGAACAGGCCCAGGGGAUGAGCUGCUGCAGUGGGGUCUGUGAGCUGGCCAUGAUACCUCCCAUGCCACUGUACUUCUUACAGCAUGGUGCCAAUACUCGUCCCUUUGAGAAGUGGGGUCUUUGUUCCCUUCCCUUGAGUUUUGGCAGGCCUAUGACUAUGUCAGAGGUAAAGUUAUGUGACUUCCGAGACUGGAUCAUGAACGGCAACACCGCUUCUGCCCAGUUCCUUAGAAUGAAGGAAGGCUGGCACCAUGGUGUGAGGAAGCCCAGGCUACACAGAGGCUGCAUGUGGAUGCUCCAGCCAACUGCCCCAGCCAAGGCUCAACCGCCAGACAUGGGCAUGAAGACAUCUUCAGAGCAACUCUGGCCCCAGCCACCGUGAUGGCAGGAGAGGCUCCCAGGGAGAACCAGUCAACCCCCAGGACUGUGGGACGUAGUAACAAAAUCUUGUUGGGGGCGAUGUGUUACCUAAAGAACAAUGAACAAAAAAUGCUGGUGUGUCACUGGUGCCUCCAGUGUUCCUACCUCACUGUUCUGAGACCUCACUUUUCAUA